rnacentral:rRNA from 1 species
CACGAAACUAGGCGAGCUACUGCGGGACGUAUAUUAGUACGAAGUAUGUAGCAUAAUAAUAAUAGAUCCCGCAGUAGGAGUGAAAGGCUACCAAGUCUAGAGAUAGCUUGUUAACUUUGAAAUGUAUUUAGUACAUAGUCAAUUUGUGAGUGAUAAGGCUCACAAAAAAUAUGUAAAUUGGUGGUUUGAUAGCACAUAGUUUAACCGCUAGUAACUCCCCUGAGCUAAUAUUGAUGUUAGUUAUAAUAUAGAUUAAAAGUUAGUAUUUAACUCAGAGAAAUAUUUAUAUUGUUAGUAUUAGUAAUUUAGAUGCCGCUGAUGAACUCGGCAAUAUUUCUUUCACCUGUUUAUCAAAAACAUCGCCAGUAGAAGGCACUAUUGGUUGGUUCUGCUCAAUGUAUGUAUAAAUAGCCGCAGUACCCUGACUGUGCAAAGGUAGCAUAAUCAUUUGGCUUAUAAUUGAAGUCUAGUAUGAAUGAAUUCAUGGGGGAAAACUCUAUUGGCGGUAUAUUUUAAACUUGCUUGGUGGGUGAAAAUACCCACAAAUAAAUAAAAGACGAGAAGACCCCAGAAAUUUUUACAACGUGAUAAGAGUAGUUUUUGUUGGGGCAACAUGGUAGCACGGAACCUACAGUAGCGACACGACAUAGUUUAGUUAGAUUAAAUUACUCUGGGGAUAACAGCGUAAUUCCGAAGAGUUUGCGACCUCGAUGUUGGACUAGGAAGCAGAUGCUUAGAA